rnacentral:rRNA from 1 species
AAGUAAAAGUCGUAACAAGGUCUCCGUUGGUGAACCAGCGGAGGGAUCAUUACAGAGUUGCAAAACUCCCUAAACCAUUGUGAACGUUACCCUUAACCGUUGCUUCGGCGGGCGGCGCCAUGCCGCCCCUCGGCCCUUCCCGGGCGCCCGCCGGAGGAUACCCAACUCUUGAUAUUUUAUGGCCACUCUGAGUCUUCUGUACUGAAUAAGUCAAAACUUUCAACAACGGAUCUCUUGGUUCUGGCAUCGAUGAAGAACGCAGCGAAAUGCGAUAAGUAAUGUGAAUUGCAGAAUUCAGUGAAUCAUCGAAUCUUUGAACGCACAUUGCGCCCGCCAGUAUUCUGGCGGGCAUGCCUGUUCGAGCGUCAUUUCAACCAUCAAGCCCCCGGCUUGUGUUGGGGACCUGCGGCUGCCCGCAGGCCCUGAAAAACAGUGGCGGGCUCGCUGUCACACCGAGCGUAGUAGCAUCAUUCUCGCUCAGGGCGUGCUGCGGGUUCCGGCCGUUAAACGACCUUCAUAACCCAAGGUUGACCUCGGAUCAGGUAGGAAGACCCGCUGAACUUAAGCAUAUCAAUAAGCGGAGGAA